AAUUCUCAAACCUUUCAUUAUUUUUUUAAUGAGGGGAUUUGGAUGUGGAAGUUUGCAGGCCUCUCUGACGAGGUCGGCUCUUCUUAAAUGCAUUAGCAAGGACCUAUUCUUCUGUUAGCCUUGGUUGUGAUAAUUAUCUACACCAUUGGCUUUCAAGAUGUUGUUGUCCAGCUCUCUAAUUUGUCUCCUUGUGGGACAAUUGGAAUUUUUGACACCUU
rnacentral:misc_RNA from 1 species